GGCCCUUUAGCUCAGCGGUUAGAGCGUGCGACUCAUAAUCGCCCGGUCGUUGGUUCAAACCCAACAAGGGCCACCA
rnacentral:tRNA from 13 species